rnacentral:rRNA from 1 species
UACGAAGGGGGCUAGCGUUGCUCGGAAUUACUGGGCGUAAAGGGCGCGUAGGCGGCUGUUUAAGUCGGGGGUGAAAGCCCGGGGCUCAACCUCGGAAUUGCCUUCGAUACUGGACAUCUUGAGUACGGGAGAGGUGAGUGGAACUCCGAGUGUAGAGGUGAAAUUCGUAGAUAUUCGGAAGAACACCAGUGGCGAAGGCGACUCACUGGCCCGUUACUGACGCUGAGGCGCGAAAGCGUGGGGAGCAAACAGG